rnacentral:tRNA from 1 species
GUGUCUGUAGCCUAGUUGGUAAAGGCGGCACUCUAGUAUGUGGCUCAGCAUUGCUGAGUUCAUGGGUUUGAGUCCCACCAGACACA